rnacentral:rRNA from 1 species
UACGGGGGGGGCAAGCGUUGUUCGGAAUUACUGGGCGUAAAGGGCUCGUAGGCGGCCAACUAAGUCAGACGUGAAAUCCCUCGGCUUAACCGGGGAACUGCAUCUGAUACUGGAUGGUUUGAGUUCGGGAGAGGGAUGCGGAAUUCCAGGUGUAGCGGUGAAAUGCGUAGAUAUCUGGAGGAACACCGGUGGCGAAGGCGGCAUCCUGGACCGACACUGACGCUGAGGAGCGAAAGCCAGGGGAGCAAACGGG